AGAAGGAGAAAAACCUUCUCCUUCAACAACAACAAGAAAUCCAGCAAAUCAAAGAGGUUCUAAGCCUGAAAUUGAAUGCAUGUAUUGAGAUUCUUGAUCAUCUAAGUGUCUCUAACAUAAGGAGUGAAAAAGGAGGAAACGAGCCAUUCCGGGUCACAAACAAGGCAACGUAAAGGAAAGGCUACUUGAUCGAUGGCACUACUUGGAUCGAACACACUCAUGAUGCACGCUUCCGCGAAGAUCCUAUUUAUGGUUUAAGCUUUUGGUUAAAUGUUUUUGUUAAAACGGGUCUUUUGUAUGUAAGUCAA